GGCUUGGUUGCGGAGGGGCCGCGCCCGCAUGCAAUCGCAGUGCAAAUGAUACUCUGCAGGAGUCGCUCGUUCGACUCGAGCUCGGGCCA